AGGGGGGACCGGAGGGUCGCGCGGGCGCCUGCGGGCGCCCGCGAGGAAAGUCCGGGCUGCAUAGGACGGGAUGCCUGGUAACGCCAGGGCGGCGCAAGCCGACGGAAAGUGCCACAGAAAAGACACCGCCCGCGCGAGCGGGUAAGGGUGAAAUGGUGCGGUAAGAGCGCACCGCGGUCCGGGUAACCGGACCGGCAGGGCAAACCCCAUCCGCAGCAAGGCCGAACAGGGGGGAUGGACUGGUUCCGGUCCGCUCGACUCCCGGGUAGGCCGCUGGAGGCCGCCGGCGACGGCGGCCCGAGAGGAAUGACCCUCACUCGCCCAAGGGCGGGUACAGAACCCGGCUUACAGGUCCCCCCUGCCU
rnacentral:RNase_P_RNA from 1 species